rnacentral:lncRNA from 1 species
GAUCCAUAAAUAAGUACUUACAUUAAAAUAUCUCAAACUGAGUUACGAUACAUAAUUGCAGCAGUGGCAUGGCAUCAGCCAACAAAAUAGAAGCUAAUUCAGAGCUUCAUUACAGAUAAAACAAGAGUUCACAAAAGGGGAAUUAUCCAAGUAAGUCGAUAGUUGUAAACUGCUUCCUUUCCUUGCCAUGGCAUCAGCUUCUCUAAAUAUAUGCUUCAGGGUCCACUGCUGGAAACAGCAGUUGCAUCCAUCUCUUUUUCGACUUUGAGUAAUUGUUUAAGUGCCAGGUUAAUACCGUCCCACAACGCCGGCCGUCCCUGCUCCCGCUCACCCCGGGUUUCCCAAGGCUGAACCUUCUGUGUUGAUUUUGACGAAACCUGGCUUCAGUUUCCUCCAUCGGGUGGGUAUGCUGUUAGGAACAUUGGUCUUAAUUUCAUAGGCAGCUACAGCAAAAAUUUCUGCAGCUUUUUCAAUCAUCCUGUCAGUAAUGGAACUCAGAGUACUAAGGCAAAAGUCAAAGGGCAAGGGAGUUUCCGUCUACCGGUCCAUUCUUAUGCAUCGAUAUUUGGAUCAGGCCAUUCACUCCAAUCACUGUUCCAUGCUUGUCCAAACUUUAUAAAAUUUGCACUGGUUUCUAAAAUGUAAGUGUAAAUGUUUUUUUAGGUAUCAAUAUAUAGCUACCAUUUCCUUUGA